rnacentral:misc_RNA from 1 species
GAACAAGGAGGACUACAACAAGUUUUACGAGGCUUUCUCCAAGAACCUCAAGCUUGCCAUUCACGAGGACUCCCAGAACAGGACCAAGCUUGCUGAGUUGUUGAGGUAUCACUCGACCAAGAGCGGUGAAGAGAUGACCAGCCUUAAGGACUAUGUUACGAGGAUGAAGGAGGGACAGAACGAGAUCUUCUACAUCACUGGUGAGAGCAAGAAGGCUGUUGAGAACUCUCCUUUCCUCGAGAGGCUGAAGAAGAAGGGCUAUGAGGUGCUCUACAUGGUUGAUGCUAUUGACGAGUAUUCUGUUGGUCAGUUGAAGGAGUUUGAGGGGAAGAAGUUAGUCUCUGCAACGAAGGAGGGACUUAAGCUUGAUGAGAGCGAGGAUGAGAAGAAGAAGAAGGAAGCCCUGAAAGAGAAGUUUGAGGGUCUGUGCAAGGUCAUCAAGGAGGUGCUUGGUGAUAAGGUUGAGAAGGUUGUGGUUUCUGACCGUGUGGUUGAUUCUCCUUGCUGUUUGGUCACGGGUGAGUAUGGAUGGACGGCCAACAUGGAGAGGAUUAUGAAGGCCCAAGCGCUGAGGGACUCCAGCAUGGCUGGUUACAUGUCAAGCAA